CAUACAUACAUACAUACAUACAUAGAAUGCCUAUACAGUAGUUGGCCAAAAUCCUGUCAAACUUUCAUCACCUGUUCUUACUUUUCAUCCUGGACUAGAAGCAUGAUGCAGGCUGAUGUUCAAAUCCUGUAUGAAAGCCAAGGCUUUAGAUUCCAAAGGCAAAUGGCUCUUGUUCUUCUGGGUAAUGGUCAUUUAAUUCCUUACAAACUGGAAGAAGGCAGGCAAUGAUGAGGCAGAGCAGACCCAUCAAGGGGUGGAUCCGUCAUUUUACAUUCUUGAACAUGAGAAUGUUAAUUUUAUCAAUACUGAUAUCAGAUAUGGGUUCAAUGGGCUGAUCAUCUCCCUCAGUCAAAGGAACAGACUCAGCAGGCUCCCUGCUGAAUUCAUCUGCAAAAUACAAGCGCAGGAUGAUAUAACAGCUACCAAUAACAUGGGUGUUAAUAGAACCAUAGCAAAUGUCGUACCAACAAUUACCGAUUCAGUGAGAACCUUUACAUUAUUGAUUGUGCUUAAUCAAUUUCUUAAAAUAAAGGAACAUAAACAAUGAGCAAGCUUACCAAAAAUUGUACUCAAGGAAGUUGGGGGAGGGGUUGACAAGAAGUUGAGGCCAAGGUAAAAUGCAAGUGCUAGUACUACUGUAACCAUAGCAUAAGUUGGGAUGGCCAAUGCCCAGUACCUAAGAAAUGUCAGCAACGAGUUAAAAUAAGCCAAUAAGAUGGCUUUACACUUAAGCAUUCCAGCUAUAUAACGGUGCUCAAUGGUCAAACAAGCAAUGUUUUUGGCAGAGAAAAAAAUAAAAAUCUAAGAUCAAAACAACCUAUUAAAAAGGAUGAUAUGUAAUGCCACUGACCUGUUGGGAUAGUAAAAGACCCCAAUUGAGUGCAAACAAGGUUCAGGAACGUAUGCCCAUACCAAGAAAAUAACUGCUCAGGCAGAACAAUUGAAAUCAAUAUGAAAUUAACAAUUUAUUCUUGAAGUAAAUCCUUGAGUGGAAUUCUUGUAGAACAACUUUGUAACAAAGGAAAGCAAUUAUAUACACUGACCACUGAUAGUUCAAAUCGGAUAAUUGGAAGAGGUAAGAGAUAAAAAUACAAUGUUAAUGAUGCAAAAGUACAAUAUUUAUAGUACACGUAAGAAUACAUACAAAUAUUUUUUUUAUCAUAAGGUGUAACUGAAUCAAGUUAUUGUAACAGAUUUAUGAACUUUAUCAAAUCCAGACAGUAAUGAUAAAGAAAGCAUUCUGCAAAGGUUAACUGUUACCUAGUAACUAAUAUAAAUUUAGACAUUAAACGAAUUCAUAGUAUUCAUGUGAAUUCAGAUUUCAGACAACAGCAACUUCAACACAACGUGUCAAUGAAAUAUUAAAAACAAAUGGCUGGAAGAAAUGGACCUGUAGCAACAAUAGUUGUAAUGGACCCAACAAAACCAUAAACUUCCGAAGUUUUUAGUCCAUGCUCCCCAGACACUCCGAAGCCAGCAGCCUUGUCAUUGGGGUCUUGAAAGUAUACAGUUGCCCUCCUUCUCUUUGAAAAACUAAGGAUUCUUCUAGGACUACUAACAGAAUAGUGAUCUUCCAUGCUGGCUCCUUCAAAACAUUCUGGUGUUUCACUAUACUCACAAAUUCUCA
rnacentral:misc_RNA from 1 species